AGUGAACGCUGGCGGUAGGCCUAACACAUGCAAGUCGAACGGCAGCACAGUAAGAGCUCGCUCUUACGGGUGGCGAGUGGCGGACGGGUGAGGAAUACAUCGGAAUCUACUUUUUCGUGGGGGAUAACGUAGGGAAACUUACGCUAAUACCGCAUACGACCUACGGGUGAAAGCAGGGGAUCUUCGGACCUUGCGCGAUUGAAUGAGCCGAGGUCGGAUUAGCUAGUUGGCGGGGUAAAGGCCUACCAAGGCGACGAUCCGUAGCUGGUCUGAGAGGAUGAUCAGCCACACUGGAACUGAGACACGGUCCAGACUCCUACGGGAGGCAGCAGUGGGGAAUAUUGGGCAAUGGGCGCAAGCCUGAUCCAGCCAUACCGCGUGAGUGAAGAAGGCCUUCGGGUUGUAAAGCCCUUUUGUUGGGAAAGAAAAGCAGCAGGUUAAUACCUCGCUGUUCUGACGGUACCCAAAGAAUAAGCACCGGCUAACUUCGUG
rnacentral:rRNA from 1 species